AACUGGGACUGGUAGGCACAGGACUGUUACUCAACUCAUUAAGCAAAACAAUGAUAAUACCAUUUCCAUUUCCAUUGCCAUUGCAAAUUGAAUAUGGACCGGGACCUGCUUAUAUACAAGCCAAACCUCAAUUGGUGCCAGUUCCGCAUCCAAUUCCCA